rnacentral:rRNA from 1 species
UACGGUAGGGUGCAAGCGUUAAUCGGAAUUACUGGGCGUAAAGCGUGCGCAGGCGGUUUUGUAAGUUUGUCGUGAAAUCCCCCGGGCUCAACCUGGGAAUUGCAUCUGUGACUGCAUAGCUAGAGUACGGUAGAGGGGGAUGGAAUUCCGCGUGUAGCAGUGAAAUGCGUAGAUAUGCGGAGGAACACCGAUGGCGAAGGCAAUCCCCUGGACCUGUACGUGA